rnacentral:lncRNA from 1 species
UAGCGGUUGUUGCAUAUAUACUUCUAUUUCUUUCUUUACAGUUGUCUUGUUACUAUAGUUUUGAUAUCCUUGUAUGCUUGCAGUUGUACAUUACAGUAGCGGUAGUUGUGCUUUCAUAUAUAUAUCUCAUUCGUUCAUUAUCGUUGCUACUGUAUUUUACUUACCCAUACUGUUGUUUAUCUCUUCCUGAUCCGGUGAGUACUCCUCGCCUUCUUCGGCUUGCGGUACCCACUGGGAGGGGAGACAUGUUUACAUAUUCUCACCUCCCCCACUAUUUUUCAGGUACUGCAGACGUUGAGUUUUGGGACGAGACGUGAGGUACGUUCGUAGCGGUCGAUAGAGCUUCCGAUCCAGGUUAUCGGUUUAGUUUUAUCCCUACUAUUCUGUUGUUAUAGCUUAGUCAGUUUAUAUGGUUCAGUAUUUUUAUUACAUUGGAAAAUGUGGAUUUCUGGAUUUUGUAAAAUAAAAGGUUUUCUACCUCUCGUGGUAGCGUUUUUAAAAGAAUAAAGGUUUCUGUGUAGGAAACAGCUUUCAAAAGGUUUUCGUGAAUUUAUAUUUAAACACUGAAUGUAAAACUGUUAUGUGAAUGCAUGAAUGUAUAGUUAUCUUUAUAUUCAUUUGGUUGUGGUUGUUUCCUGGCUAUACUCUUGUACUUGUGUGACGCCGUGCAAGUACAGGGGAGACUCUGUCCGUGUGAACAGUGGAUUUCCUGUAUUUGUGGCGGAUCUGGCAUACUCUGGGGUUAGGUUUAAAAAAAAAAAAAAAAAAAAAAAAUUCAAACGCCUUUCCGCUGUAUUUCAAACAAAAAGGGGACCCCGGGGCGUGACAUCUAAUUUUGCAAAUAUUUUUCUAGAAUUUAUUUUUAUAAUUAUAAUACU